rnacentral:rRNA from 1 species
ACGGAAGGCAGCAGUGGGGAAUUUUGCGCAAUGGGGGGAACCCUGACGCAGCAACGCCGCGUGCGGGACGAAGGCCUUCGGGUUGUAAACCGCUUUCAGCAGGGAAGAAGUUGACGGUACCUGCAGAAGAAGCCCCGGCUAACUACGUGCCAGCAGCCGCGGUAGUACGUAGGGGGCGAGCGUUAUCCGGAUUCAUUGGGCGUAAAGCGCGCGUAGGCGGGCUUCUAAGCGGAACCUCUAACCCGAGGGCUCAACCCCCGGCCGGGUUCCGAACUGGAAGCCUCGAGUCUGGUAGAGGAAGAUGGAAUUCCCGGUGUAGCGGUGGAAUGCGCAGAUAUCGGGAAGAACACCGAUGGCGAAGGCAGUCUUCUGGGCCGCGACUGACGCUGAGGCGCGAAAGCUGGGGGAGCGAACAGGAUUAGAUACCCUGGUA